rnacentral:rRNA from 1 species
ACUCCUACGGGAGGCAGCAGUGGGGAAUAUUGCACAAUGGGCGCAAGCCUGAUGCAGCCAUGCCGCGUGUAUGAAGAAGGCCUUCGGGUUGUAAAGUACUUUCAGCAGUGAGGAAGGUGGAGUCAGUUAANGCGCUCAUUUUGACGUUAGCUGCAGAAGAAGCACCGGCUAACUCCGUGCCAGCAGCCGCGGUAAUACGGAGGGUGCGAGCGUUAAUCGGAAUUACUGGGCGUAAAGCGCAUGCAGGUGGUUUGUUAAGUCAGAUGUGAAAGCCCGGGGCUCAACCUCGGAAUUGCAUUUGAAACUGGCAAGACUAGAGUACUGUAGAGGGGGGUAGAAUUUCAGGUGUAGCGGUGAAAUGCGUAGAGAUCUGAAGGAAUACCGGUGGCGAAGGCGGCCCCCUGGACAGAUACUGACACUCAGAUGCGAAAGCGUGGGGAGCAAACAGGAUUAGAUACCCUGGUAGGAUAGCGU